AUACGGAGGAUCCGAGCGUUAUCCGGAUUUAUUGGGUUUAAAGGGAGCGUAGGCGGGAGAUCAAGUCAGCUGUGAAAUGUAGGCGCUCAACGUGUGCACUGCAGUUGAAACUGGUUUUCUUGAGUGCGUAAGGGGCAGGCGGAAUUCGUCGUGUAGCGGUGAAAUGCUUAGAUAUGACGAAGAACUCCGAUCGCGAAGGCAGCUCGCGGGGCCGCAACUGACGCUGAAGCUCGAAGGUGCGGGUAUCGAACAGGAUUAGAUACCCUGGUAGUCCGCACAGUAAACGAUGGAUACUCGCUGUCGGCGAUAUACGGUCGGUGGCCAAGCGAAAGCGUUAAGUAUCCCACCUGGGGAGUACGCCGGCAACGGUGAAACUCAAAUGAAUUGACGGGG
rnacentral:rRNA from 1 species